rnacentral:rRNA from 1 species
AUACGGAGGGUGCAAGCGUUAAUCGGAAUUACUGGGCGUAAAGCGCGCGUAGGCGGUUUGAUAAGUCGGAUGUGAAAUCCCCGGGCUCAACCUGGGAAUUGCAUUCGAUACUGUCAGGCUAGAGUGUGGGAGAGGGAAGUGGAAUUUCCGGUGUAGCGGUGAAAUGCGUAGAUAUCGGAAGGAACACCAGUGGCGAAGGCGGCUUCCUGGACCAACACUGACGCUGAGGUGCGAAAGCGUGGGGAGCAAACAGGAUUAGAAACCCCAGUAGUCC